UUUACCCUGUUACCUUCUGUGCUGGCUAGUAAUUUGGGAUUGUUUCGCAAUGGAUGAAGAAAGCAAAUGUUUUUUACCCUUGUCCUUUAUUAUUAUAUUUUCUUUUGGAGUCGAACAUAAUAUACGAAUAUUUGGGGUGCUAUUUUAUUUAUUUGUUCUGGCUUAUCUAUUGUUUCAUCGCUCCAUAAGAGCCUAGGUUGGUCAAUUCACGAUUUUCCCUUUCUAGAAAAUUGUCUAGUUUGGUUCGUUUUCCUCAAAUCAGCGGACAAACGUCGAGCAUGCGCAAGGGGAUCAAUUUUGGCCAGUCGCGUGCGCGCGCCCAAUUCCUGCGCAAAAUUUCAGAAGUAAACUUAGGAAACAUUCCUAUUCCCAGUAAAAAAUAACGACCAAAUACGAACGCGUUUGACUGCUGUGUUGCAGACUGAACUAAACUCAACAUUUAAUAAGGAGUGGCUAACUUCGAGCGUGACGUCUCCUCAAGUUUAACUACCCAGAUCCAUUAGUAGCUUGUUGUUUUUUCGCUUCCUCGUAUUGCGGUGUCUUCUUGACAAAACCUCUUUCGAUCAAACUGUAGGCCAUGUCUAUUACGCUUUUCUUGAAAUCCUCAAACUGCAUACCGAAAUGGUCUUUUAUCUGAACAAACAAA